rnacentral:lncRNA from 1 species
UGAGGGUGCCAUAAAAAGAAACGUAGAAUAACAAUACGUCACCCCAACUUCGUUGAGGGUGCCAUAACUAGAAUUGCCAUUGCAAGCAAUAGCGGAUGUCACCCUGGUCCGCCAAUUGCCACUAAGUGGCAGCCAUUUCGAAACUUUUAACAUUGAAUUAACUUAAUUCACUUUACAAUACAUCAUUUUGCGAAUUUUCCGAAAAUUUAAAGCAUUUUGAAAAUUUGGAUGUUUGUACUGUUUCUAUGGCAACGGCCGCCAUUUUGGAAAUUCCAAAGAUGGAUUUCAAGUCUUCGCAUGCCAAGUAACAUUUCCACAAAGUUUUAUUCAUUUUGGAACACUUUCCGAUUUUUCACAUUAUUUCUGUUUCCAUGACAACGACAGCCAUCUUGGAAAUGCCAACCCCCGAUUGCACAUCUGCACAUGGGGGUUAACAUUAUGGUACACUUCCAUCAUCAUUGGUCCAUGCAAUUCCGAGAAAUAGUCUGGACAAAAAAGUGUGGAAUAAUAAAGAAAAAAAAAAGAAUCGUACAAUAACAAUAUGUCACCCGACCUCCGUCAGGGUGACAAAAAAAAGAAACGAACAAUAACAAUAUGUCACCCCAACUCCGUUGAGAGUGCCAUAAAAAAAAAGAAACGUAGAAUAACAAUAUGUCACCCCAACUCCGUUGAGGGUGCAUAAAAAAAGAAACGAACAAUAACAAUAUGUCACCCCAACUCCGUUGAGGGUGCCAUAAAAAGAAUCGUACAAUAACAAUAUGUCACCCGACCUCCGUCAGGGUGACAUAAUAAGCAA